rnacentral:rRNA from 1 species
GAGUUUGAUCGUGGCUCAGGAUGAACGCUAGCGGCAGGCUUAACACAUGCAAGUCGAGGGGCAGCGGGGAGGAAGCUUGCUUUCUCCGCCGGCGACCGGCGCACGGGUGAGUAACACGUAUGCAACCUGCCCCUGUCAGGGGACAACCCGCCGAAAGGCGGGCUAAACCCGCGUACAUGCCACCGGGGCAUCCCGGAGGCAGGAAAGGCUUCGGCCGGACAGGGAUGGGCAUGCGGCGCAUUAGGCAGUAGGCGGGGUAACGGCCCACCUAACCGACGAUGCGUAGGGGUUCUGAGAGGAAGGUCCCCCACACUGGUACUGAGACACGGACCAGACUCCUACGGGAGGCAGCAGUGAGGAAUAUUGGUCAAUGGUCGGGAGACUGAACCAGCCAAGCCGCGUGAGGGAGGAAGGUACAGAGUAUCGUAAACUCUUUUGUCAGGGAACAAAGGCGGGACGUGUCCCCGGAUGAGUGUACCUGAAGAAAAAGCAUCGGCUAACUCCGUGCCAGCCGCCGCAGU